rnacentral:rRNA from 1 species
UACAGAGGUCCCAAGCGUUGUUCGGAUUCACUGGGCGUAAAGGGUGCGUAGGUGGUCAGGUAAGUCUGAUGUGAAAUCUCUGGGCUCAACCCAGAAACUGCAUUGGAUACUAUCUGGCUAGAGGAGUGGAGGGGGGACUGGAAUACUUGGUGUAGCAGUGAAAUGCGUAGAUAUCAAGUGGAACACCAGUGGCGAAGGCGAGUCCCUGGACACUUCCUGACACUGAGGCACGAAAGCUAGGGGAGCAAACAGG